AUUGAACGCUGGCGGCAGGCCUAACACAUGCAAGUCGAACGAGUGGCGGACGGGUGAGAAAUGUCUGGGAAUCUGCCUGAUGGAGGGGGAUAAAUAGUGGACACGGUCGAUAAUACCGCAUUACAUCAGAAGUGCCCAGAUGGGAUUAGCUUGUUGGUGGGGUAACGGCUCACCAAGGCGACGCUCCCUAGCUGGUCUGAGAGGAUGACCAGCCACACUGGAACUGAGACACGGUCCAGACUCCUACGGGAGGCAGCAGUGGGGAAUAUUGCACAAUGGGCGCAAGCCUGAUGCAGCCAUGCCGCGUGUAUGAAGAAGGCCUUCGGGUUGUAAAGUACUUUCAGCCGGGAGGCGUUACCCGCAGAAGAAGCACCGGCUAACUCCGUGCCAGCCGCCGCGGUAAUAC
rnacentral:rRNA from 1 species